UACGGAGGGUGCAAGCGUUAUCCGGAUUCACUGGGUUUAAAGGGAGCGUAGGUGGUUUUGUAAGUCAGUGGUGAAAUGUUCCGGCUCAACCGGGAAACUGCCAUUGAUACUGCUUAACUUGAAUCAAGUCGAGGUGGAUGGAAUAAUACAUGUAGCGGUGAAAUGCUUAGAUAUGUAUUAGAACACCGAUUGCGAAGGCAGUUCACUAGGCUUGUAUUGACACUGAGGCUCGAAAGCUAGGGGAGCAAACGGG
rnacentral:rRNA from 1 species